GGACGGGAAGCCUUUUUUACGAUGCGACAGUCAAGCUUUCACCAUCGGAACAUCGGCCUCAGUUGGAGGGCGUGACUUUGCCAUGUCUAUUUCACGUGAACCAUUCGCGAGGGCACGAGCGGAUGCAGGCACCAGUUUUAGGGCCAGCGGGGGAGUUGGGGUGCAAAUUCCGUGAGGAACAUUAAUGAGGCGCCAGCUCUCCCCAUUAUAAAUCUUGAUUUGGUUCUUGGUUCCUGGAAUGCAGCAGCUGCCUGGAUUCUGCUUUCUGAUUAUGACUUGAGGCAGGGAGAGCCCAAGGGACACUGUUAUGCACCUCCAUCAUCUCAGGGACUGCCCUGUUUGGAGGCACAGUAGUGCCCAGCCUUCCAGCAUGGACUGGGGAACAGAGAUGCAGCCUAGGCCAUGCUCCUUAACUUCGGUGUUACAGCUGUUGUGAGGCUUUAAGGAUUUCUUCAUGUGUGAGGUUCUCCUGCAAGUCGACAGGGUUUGGAUGCAAGUCGUUCACCUGGGGUGUGAGUGCAGAGAGGGAGGCAGAGAAAGAAGCCAAGAAAGCGCAUGUCAAGGGGACACUGACCACUGCGGACGACUCUUCUUGCUGUGGAUGCUCUUGAGAGACCAUGCAGACUCAAGCGUCCCCUCACCGAGGGGUGGUGGGAGCUGGGUGUUCAUCACCAAUUUCUGUCCCUCGCUGGUUGAAAGGUGCCCGAGCAGGGCAUUGACCACUCCGACCCUCCCAACCCCCACAGGAAGCUGGCUGAAUGCUGGGUAGCAGUCAGAGAGGACCCCUGGACAGAGAGAGGCAGGUGCUGGAUGGAGGGACCCCUCCACCAAAGCCCCAGGACCCAUGGGCCCUGGCAGUGUCUGCUCCAAUAACCCCGAUAGCUGCAUUUAGGCUAAAGAGGGUAGGUGAGAGGGAACAGAAUAUGAAAAGUGCAGAGGCAGGAGGGAGUGAGGGCUGAGAACUCGGAGGAGGCCAGAACAGCUGACCUGCAGGUAUGUGGGCUGUGCGAUGAGGCUGAGAGGCAUGUGGGACGGACAAACCUUUACUGCAAAAGGGGUUCAGAAGGCUUUCAGGAGGUGGAUAGCAUGUCAGGCUCACAUGUUAGGAGGGUCUGUGUAGCUGCAGCAUGGACAGCGGUUCAGAGAGGGUCAGAGUUACAAGAAAUUGGGUAAGAGGUUCUUGCGGAGGUAGGGCUAUGCCUGCUGGGCGUAGGCAGGUGGUGGCUGUGUGGGAGGGGACAGGAAAUAAAGUCAGUAGGACUUGUGCUGUCUGCCUCCUUCACCCCAUGUCCUGCCACACCUCUGCCAAGGCCAUUGUUGGCCCUCACUGGACCCACUCCUACUGACCUCCCAUCCCAAGAGUAGGUGAGAACACCUGAACAGGAAUGAAAGUAUUUGCUGUGAAGAGAUGUAGCAAUUAGGGCUCAUUGGGAGGCGGCGACAGAAAGGAACUUUGGCAAGCUUAAGCAAGAGGGGCAUUUAUGGGAGGUCCGCAGAGCUCAGAAAACCUGGGUGGCUGAAGGACUGCACUUGAGAAAUGGACAGGAACCCUUUGGCCCCAGAUAGCCAGGCAGCAGGAUCUCCCAUUCUUUCAUUCCCCAGACUACUGAGCACCUGCUCUGUGCCAAUCAUGGUCGGUCCAGGUGCUGUGGACAGAGAGUGAGCCAAGCCUUGUCCUUCCUCUCAUGGGCCUUACAUUCUUAUGGGGUGAGGGUGGGGGCAGCAGUGAAAAUGACAAGUGGUGGGGAGGGCUCAUGAAGAAGAGUAGGGGAGGGCAGGGCAGGUGUAGAGCGUGGGGGUUCUGCUUCACCUGGGGGAACAGGGUUGUCCUUUCCAGUGAAGUCAUCAGAGAAGAACUCUGACUGAGCACACGGAGGAGCUGUGUAAAUCUGGGGAAAGAGCGGCCCCAGCAGGGGGUGGAGGCUGGGUGGUCACUGCGGAUGGAGAAGGCCAUGGUUAGGAUUAUGGAUUUCGAGUGAAAUAGCAAGUGCCUGGAAGGAUUUGAGCAGGGGCUCACGCCGUCUGGUACCUGAUGACAGGAUCACUCUGACUUCUGUGCAGGGAGUGGAUUGUAGACGCCAAGGAGGAAGCCCAGUUGGAGUACUAACUGUUAGAAUAGUAAGAAAGUAGCAAGACACAAGAUAUUCUUUGGAGGUGGAGCUGAGAGUAUGGAUGGAUUAGGUAAAGACUGAAGGGACAGACAAGAGUCAAAACUAACUGCUAGGUUUUUGGCCCAAGGAGAUACUACUUACUGAUAGGGGGAUGGCUUGGGAUGGUUGGGGAGUUAAGAGUUGUGUUUGUAUGUGUUGGUGUCGUGCUGAGACACACCUGACCUUUAGAAGGACCCCUAAGGAAAGUUAGGCACUCCAACAAUCCUACAUCUUUGUGUCCCUUGCUCAAGAGCCAAAGUCCUGGGGUGGCAUGUUGGACAACCAAAAACGAGUGAGAAUCCACUCUGAGACAAGUCUGAGGGGUUGGCAUGGUCUAAACGCCUGUUGAGGGACAUCCAGCCAAACAAGAGCCAGUGUGUGCUGAGUUUUAAGGGCAGGGGCUAGGGCCAAUGAGCAGAAGCUCCAGAUGGCAGGUUCUGAUUCGGCAUAAGACAGAAACUUUCAACCCUUUCCAGGAUCCCCUGGCCUCUGGGAUGCAGCCAUUGCCUGGCACUUGACUCAUUUAGGCACCAACUGGCCAAGCACUUGGAGGGAUGCAGAGGGAGAAGGCUAAGCUCUGUAGGUGAUUGAACCAGGGAAGGGGAUUGGGGUGUUUGAUCUGAGACCUCCCAUGAGAAAAAUAUUUUGAAGGUACAUCCCUAAUAUCCGUAUACCUGUGUGUUUGUUCGGUCACAUAUUAUAGCAACUAUGCCUACAAUAAAAUUUGACAAAAUCAACUUCUAAAAUGCUAAACAAUAGAUGAAUACAUUUGCUUUAAUUUUUAUUUUAUUAAUAUUACUAAAAAUCUUCUGUUAUCACAAAAACAUUAAUGAUAAAUAUUUUAGAGUGAUUUGAUUGCAAAUACUUCAUUAUUUGUUUUAUUGGUUUACCACUCUGUCAUAUUGAAAUGUGACAGCCUAGUUCUAAAUUCAGUUUACCUGAAUACUUGGUUUGUAUUACUGUUGAGCUGUAUACAAUAAUUUUAAAAGAUGUCUGGUUCCAAAUGUCAGACAGGCAUCAUGGGCCAUAGUGAAUCAUGACUCCAUUUUUCUGUCCCACCCAUCAAUUGAUCAAAAACACACAUUCAAGAAAUGUGGUUAGUCAUUCUCUAUCUCCUUUGAUAUUAAUUAGUUGUUCUUGAAACUGAAUUCGAAGGGUUUGCAGUUUUAUGUUGUUCUAAUGGUGAUUACAUUCACAUUGUUUUGUAACCAAUCUUGAGAAGUUUUUCAUUGCAAACCUGAAACUGUGUAUCCCUUAAACAAUGGGUUUCAUGUGUGUAAUAAUUAGGCACACAGCCCAGUUAAAUAUUUCAUUUGAAAAAUAGCCAUUUUGUUUUUAAAUGUUAAAACGUGUACCUAGAUAUAUUUAUGGUGACCACAUGUAUCAUUUUUGUAACUAAAUCAAAAUAACAACACAUUGGAAACAUUUAGAUCUAUCUGUUUCAAAAUCAUCUCUCUGUAGCAUGUUUCUUUCAGAAAGAAGUUAAUUUCUAAUUCAUUGUUCCAAGCAGCACCUUGACUUGACAUUCCAGAUGAAAUCUGGUUCUUUCUUCAGUUUGCUUGCUAUAUACCUGUAAUAUUGAAAGCUCCAUGUCAUCCCAGAAAAGGUCAGAAAACUUUUUUUUUUUUCCAAACAGGACAACAUCUGUUUCUUAAGGUUACCACCUGCUAGUAUAACACUGGAUAAAGAUUUGACUGUAUUUUAACUCUUUCCUUCAUGAUAUUAAUCACACUGAUGACACCUUGUAUCACUUUGUGUACAUUUUACCUUUUAAUUCUCUCAUGCUACUGUUUUGCCUGUAAAUGACACGUGCAUGGGCCCCUCUUGCAGUGCUUACUCUAAAACCUGACCCUAGAACUUUUAUUAAAAAUUGAGAUCAACGUAGCCAUCCCUAUUGUGGUUACAUCUAUAUACCCUUUUCCCAUAAAACAUCAUCUUUAAUAAAGUCAUAUGUUAUUGAGAAUGUUUUCUCUUCUACAUCUUUCCUUUAAUAGUUUUCAAACAACUAAAUUCUUCAUGUUGUCAUCACUGAAACAAAAUUU